CCUACGGGAGGCAGCAGUGAGGAAUAUUGGUCAAUGGCCGUAAGGCUGAACCAGCCAAGUCGCGUGAAGGAAGAAGGAUCCAUGGUUUGUAAACUUCUUUUAUAGGGGAAUAAAGGUAUCCACGUGUGGAUAUUUGCAUGUACUCUAUGAAUAAGCAUCGGCUAACUCCGUGCCAGCAGCCGCGGUAAUACGGAGGAUGCGAGCGUUAUCCGGAUUUAUUGGGUUUAAAGGGUGCGUAGGUUGUUUUUUAAGUCAGCGGUGAAAGUUUGUGGCUCAACCAUGAAAUUGCCGUUGAAACUGGAAGACUUGAGUGUGUUUGAGGUAGGCGGAAUGCGUGGUGUAGCGGUGAAAUGCAUAGAUAUCACGCAGAACUCCGAUUGCGAAGGCAGCUUACUAAGCCAUAACUGACACUGAGGCACGAAAGCGUGGGGAUCGAACAGGAUUAGAUACCCUUGUAGUC
rnacentral:rRNA from 1 species